UAUAUAUUUCUGCAAAAUAUGCACAUUUUCUUCUAAUGGGUGACCUUAAAAUUCGAUAAAUGAACCAAACAAUAUCGACCUAAUUUUAGCGCAUAUCGCAUGACGUCAUUUAAAAAGUAGUCCGUGCACGCGAUAGGUAUAUUCCACAGUGUUGAAUACAAGCAAGUAUAUUCCACAACGUGUUAUACCGUCAAUGUCGCGGUGAAAAUGGGAUAAAAACAUUUGUCUGAUAAGAUCCCGAGAGUUGCUUGCUAGAGCAACACAGAUAUUUGAAACUGUUAAACGUCCUUUGGAGGGGUCACUAGCUUGGUGACGGCCAAGAAGCGGUUCUCGCAGUCGUCUAAUGCAGCAGCAAGCAGGUGGCGAGGGUUCUCUCCACACCUGACGACCACAUCGUGCCACGCAUUCAGCAUGACAAAUAUCUGAUCAUCCAUCUGCAGAAUACAUCAACACGCAAAUUCAAAUAAUGAUGAGUGAUGAUAUGGCUGUUGCAUUAUCUUUUACUUAAUUAGAAGGUAGAAGUCAUUUACAUUUUUGGAACAUACAUGAUGCAUGUACCGGUAGAUGCAUAAAAAGAGAGAGCAUAAAAAGAAAACAACAGACAUAAGUUUUAAAUUCAUUUUUUACAACUAAAAUAAAGUAUUUAAAAUGUCUUACAUUGUGAUAAGCAU